AGCAUCGUAGAUUUGCAUGUUUCGCUCUCUGAUCGGAUUGUCUGAAUUCACUAGUUGAGUGUCAAUCACAGAAGAAAAAAAACUGAUGAAAAUAAAUUUUGAGAAUAUGUGAAUCCCUCGUCCGUUUCCCUGACCCCUGGCAAUGACAUAGACUGUGUAUAGGGCAAAGAUUUCAGCUUCGCCUGUUCCACUGAUAUGGAUUCAGCUAACAAAUAUGGAAACUCCAAUGUUCACACCAGUCUCAUACUUUUAAAUCCAUGACGGGAAGAGUGAACUUGCACACUUGGGAAAGGGUUGGGAAUCGGGACCUCAGUCUCAGGCACCUUAUUACCAGUUUGAUAUUUUGUUAUUGAUCCAAGUGGAUGAGGACAUGAUUGGGACAUAUGAAGAGAGACUGGAGGCUGCAGUAAUGUUGAGAUGCCAGUAGGAGGAGCUCUAGUCUAGAACACUGGAACCUUCAGUAGCACUUUGAUGGAGAUGAUGAGGAGUGAUGGGUCACAUCUUGUGAGGAAACACAUUAAGAAACCAUAUAGAACAGUCAACACUUUGUUGUGGAUCUGUAUUUAAAGAAGACUACAUUGAAAAUGGGCUGCAUUUAGCCCCUUUAAAACAUGUAGGCCCACUCCUCAAAUUAAGAAAUGUAAAUAGCUAUGCAGUCUUUAGCAGUACAUCCAGUACAUCCCUUUCUGACAUGCUGUUGAUGCAUGUGAUUGUCUUAAAUCCCUGACUAGGCUACUUUCACAAUGUGUCAGUCACUAAAAUCACAAUUCUUGUUUCUAUGCACAGCUACGACAGUAAGUUGACUCACUGUACAAGACCUCUCCCCCUUCACUCUACUGCAGGGUGGGAGAUGCAACAAUGGCCUUGAGAACAGCAGGAAGUGUGUUGGUGGUCUUUCUCUGGUCUGUAGCAGUGUUACUGGGUCAGGAUGGCAGGAGUGUGAAGUACAUCACUCAGAGUAUCUGUACCUUGAAGGGGUCAACAGUGGAGCUGUCCUGCUCUUACACAUAUCCCAGUGGUACAGUCACAACAACCUUCUGUUUCACUAGAAAUGAUGCUGAGGGGAAUCCUGUGACUCUGAGUGAUGAACCAGACUACACAGGUCAUGUGACGUACUGUAGCAACAAGAAGAAUGGCCACACCCUGACAAUCAGAGAUCUGAGAGAGUGUGACUCAGCUAUGUGCAAGUUCAGAUUUAUAACAGAUCAGACCGUAAGGAAAUAUAGUGGUGAUCCUGGAGUCACUCUGUCUGUCACAGAGUGUCCAUCCUGACCCUAAAUGGGACACACACACCACUGACAAUGAGGAUCAGACACUCUGGCAUGACACGUUCACAUCUCUUCAGAGAGAUGCUCAGCACUCUGUGUAUCAGACCAUCCAGGGAAGAGAACCACCACAGAACCUGGACUGAAGAGAACCACCACAGAACCUGGACUGAAGAGAACCACCACAGAACCUGGACUGAAGAGAACCACCACAGAACCUGGACUGAAGAGAACCACCACAGAACCUGGACUGAAGAGAACCACCACAGAACAUGGACUAAAGAGAACCACCACAGAACAUGGACUAAAGAGCUAUGGCCCCAAACCAAAGCCUGACCUUACACCUCUAUUCUCUUGCUAAUAUAUUGUUAUAAUAUCUUGAAGUUUCACCCAAAUUAUAAAAUGACACAUUGGUUUCCCUUCCCUUUUAGCAGUCUAUGAACAUGGUGUGACAUCAGUCCCUGCUUUGGUUUAGUUUCCCCUGACACUGUUUCCACUUGCUAACGUUUUAGCAUUCGUGGCACAAAUCCCAUUCGUCAUGUGACUGUUAAGAGGCAUUUCUCGCACAUCAUUUCAAAAUCAAUCAAAAGUUUUAAAAAAUGCGUUGUGAAGCUUAACAAAGUCACUUCCAGAUGAUUUGAACAUGAUGAGAGAAUGUUAAUAUGUGAAAUAUUAAUAUCAGUCCCGUGACUUGAAUGGGAUUUUUGUAAAUGUGGGAGUGUUCGACAUUGCAGCCGACUUUAUAGGCAAGUCGAGAUCUACAAAUCACCUUGCAUGAUGAAUAACUACUCAAUAUUAUUUAUAGAUCAUUCAGUCAGUCACAAUGUACCCAUGAUACAUCAGUUUUGAUGCUCUCGAACACUGUCUGUGUGACUGCUGAAGGAAGCCUUCUCUGCAUAAGCUUCUUGGUCCCUGACAUAGAGUUGGAUAGAAGGUACAUCUUGACAUCUUUGUCAUGAUGUCUUCUGUGACAGAAUGAGCAGCACCAUUGAGGGCUAUUUCCAUAUUAAAGUAGUUAAUAUCUUCAACUUCCAUAAGUUUAAUAACAGUCUUUAUACCAACUGAAAUGGUGUAUUCAAUGGCUUAGCCAGGCUAAAACAGGCUUUGAAGCAAGUACGCCCUCUACUCAACUCUAUUGUCCCUGACUGCUUCAAUGUUGUGUCAACCACAGACUUCAAACCUCACACUCAGUGUCUAUUUAUAUAGACUUCCAGUAAGUUAACUUACAACACAUCUCCCCUUCACUCUGUAAGUAUGCUGGACUAUAUCUUAAAAUAUGUUUAUUUUAUCA